AGAGUUUGAUCCUGGCUCAGGAUGAACGCUGGCGGCGUGCUUAACACAUGCAAGUCGAACGGACCCAUAUUGAAACCUGGUGAUAUAUGGGUUAGUGGCGGACGGGUGAGUAACGCGUGGGUAACCUGCCUUACACAGGGGGAUAACACUUGGAAAUAGGUGCUAAAACCGCAUAAGCGCACAGCUUCGCAUGAAGCGGUGUGAAAAACUCCGGUGGUGUAAGAUGGACCCGCGUCUGAUUAGCUUGUUGGCGGGGUAACGGCCCACCAAGGCGACGAUCAGUAGCCGGCCUGAGAGGGCGGACGGCCACAUUGGGACUGAGACACGGCCCAGACUCCUACGGGAGGCAGCAGUGGGGAAUAUUGCACAAUGGGGGAAACCCUGAUGCAGCGACGCCGCGUGAGUGAAGAAGUAAUUCGUUACGUAAAGCUCUAUCAGCAGGGAAGAAAUACUGACCUUACGGUCAGCAGACGGUACCUGAGUAAGAAGCCCCGGCUAACUACGUGCCAGCAGCCGCGGU
rnacentral:rRNA from 1 species